ACUCCUACGAGGCAGCAGUGGGGAAUAUUGCACAAUGGGCGCAAGCCUGAUGCAGCAACGCCGCGUGAGCGAUGAAGGCCUUCGGGUCGUAAAGCUCUGUCCUCAAGGAAGAAUAAAUGACGGUACUUGAGGAGGAAGCCCCGGCUAACUACGUGCCAGCAGCCGCGGUAAUACGUAGGGGGCAAGCGUUAUCCGGAAUCACUGGGCGUAAAGGGUGCGUAGGCGGUUUUUCAAGUCAGAAGUGAAAAGGGCUAAUGGCUCAACCAUAGUAAGCUUUUGAAACUGUUAAACUUGAGUGCAGGAGAGGAAAGUGGAAUUCCUAGUGUAGAGGUGAAAAUUCGUAGAUAUUAAGGAGGAACACCAGUGGCGAAAGGCGACUUUCUGGACUGUAACUGACGCUGAAGGCACGAAAGCGUGGGGAGCGAACAGGAUUAGAUACCCUGGUAGCACAGAG
rnacentral:rRNA from 1 species